rnacentral:lncRNA from 10 species
AGGCACCUGUUGAAUUCAGGCAUCGGCAUGUGACUUGAUUUGGUCAAUGAAAUGUGAGAGAAGUGACAUCCACUUUGAGGCAGGCACUUUCCGAAUGCCAUCAAGCUGAGAUGUGAAGCGGAAGUGAGGCAGAGGCUCCCUUCCUUUUGUUUGGCGCAGUUUUCUGUGAGAGAGCAGAGGUGGGAGAUGAGGGGACCUCUGCCCCAGUGUUUCUGCAUCCAAGCUCCAGCCUUGU